rnacentral:lncRNA from 1 species
AAUUUUCAAGUGUCAGCACACUGUGAGUCAUAUAUAAGGCAAGAGUGCACAUUCUGGUCAAAUUGCAGCAUUUUAAUUUUAUCUGAUAGGUCUGUAUUGAGAAAUCAAUGGCUAUGUGCAGAUGCUCCCAGGAACAGCGAUAGAACAGAAAUCAAAUCAACUCAAUUACCAGACCCAGAAGUCCAGAGAAACAAAGCAGCAGUGGAACAUGGGAUAUGCUGCCUCAGUGGGUGUCCUUUCCUGAGUUUGAGCGGAACAGUGGAAGAUCUCAGGUCAGAGUUCCAGACACCAAGUAGCUGGCUUGCCCUGGAGGACCAUACUCUAGGGACACUGACAAACAACCAGUGUGUGAAGUAUCUCGGAAUGAAGACUGGUUUUGUUUAUCUCAAGUGUACUCCAAAAGCAGAAUUAGAAGAAAUUUCAGCUCCUGAAUUUUUCCUCGUUUCCAUCUUUCCUCUACUUUUCCCCUGCUCCCUCCUAUCCCUUUUCCUCUUCCCCACACAGGGGUUAAAGAAGCAUAUGAGACAAAAAAAGACAUAUGAAGGUAUUGCUUCUUGAAAAUCAAACAUGAAUCUAUUUCUAUUUGCAACUUCUUUCUUUAUCCACUAUUUUUAAAAUUAGUCAUUUAUCAACCCUAACCUUUAGGGUUUAAAGAUAAAAAUGUAAAACUAGCUUACUGACCAUAGCACCAUUGUUUCACAACUGGAGAGUGUCUUGUGGCCCGCAUAAGUAGGGUGACUGGGUAUCACAGUUUGCUGAGGAGAGCUCCAUUGACAUCUGUGUCCUCUUGCCCCGGUAUAAUAAUUAACAGUGCCCCCCCUUCCGCUUAGACAAUGUACUCACAACUGCCCUGCUUCAGACCACUGACAGAAUGAAUUCCUGUCUUUCUGGCUUGUCUCCCUCCUCUUUCUCCCUCCCUGUCUCCCAGAAUUCAUGUUUUCUGGCUCUCCGCUUGAUGUCCUGAUACUAGACUUGUGGGCUUCCAUAAAGGAAAAAAAUAGCCCAGCAAUUAAUCCUCAGCCCUUGAUUAGGAUGUUAGAGUCCUGCCUUGAAACCACUUUACACAAAUGUUGGACUGCUUCAUGGGGAAAAUGAAGACUUAAUUCAUGCAGCUUGUUCCAUUGGCCCAGAUUGUCCCUCUGCAGGACAAAAAUCUGUUGUUAUUAUCAAAAAACAGAAAUUAACAAAUAAUUUAAAUUGGCAUUGAGAAACAGAGUUUUAUCUAGCCACACAGACACACACCAUUCCCAAAGCUAAGGGGACCUAAAAUAUUUGUCUGCCACUUUCACAGAUUAAGGAAAAGCCCUAACAUGCAAGUUGUACAUUUAAACAAAAAUAGCAGGUCAAGCUGGACAUGCUGGCACAUGCCUGUAAUUCCAACAGCGGGAGGCUGAGGCAGGAGGACUGCUAGUUUGUGUCUUGUCUGCGGAGGUUAAUGAGAUCCUAUCUCAAAAAAAAUUUUUUUAAAGAGCUAAGGAUACAAAGGCUUCAUUGUAUCCCAGUUCAGUUUCCAGUACCACACACACACACACACAAGAAAGCAGGUCACCACACCAUGUUGUUAAAUGAACACCUAUUAGACCAGCUUUAAGUACCUCAUAUCAUUUCAGAAUGCAGAUGACAAGUCCUUAAAGUACAAUGUCACUGUGUCCUUGGAUAAUGUUGACAAACUACUUGUUUUGGAUGUGCCUAGGUGUCCUAUAACCUGAAUUUUCAACUCAGCUAAUUUUUUUUGUGAUG